UGAGGAAUAUUGGACAAUGGGCGAAAGCCUGAUCCAGCCAUGCCGCGUGUGUGAAGAAGGUCUUCGGAUUGUAAAGCACUUUAAGUUGGGAGGAAGGGCAGUUACCUAAUACGUAUCUGUUUUGACGUUACCGACAGAAUAAGCACCGGCUAACUCUGUGCCAGCAGCCGCGGUAAUACAGAGGGUGCAAGCGUUAAUCGGAAUUACUGGGCGUAAAGCGCGCGUAGGUGGUUUGUUAAGUUGGAUGUGAAAUCCCCGGGCUCAACCUGGGAACUGCAUUCAAAACUGACAAGCUAGAGUAUGGUAGAGGGUGGUGGAAUUUCCUGUGUAGCGGUGAAAUGCGUAGAUAUAGGAAGGAACACCAGUGGCGAAGGCGACCACCUGGACUGAUACUGACACUGAGGUGCGAAAGCGUGGGGAGCAAACAGGAUUAGAUACCCCCGUAGUCCCUGAGCGGGCUGGCAAGGCGCAU
rnacentral:rRNA from 1 species